rnacentral:rRNA from 1 species
GAUGAACGCUGGCGGCGUGCCUAAUACAUGCAAGUCGAGCGAGCGGACGAGAAGCUUGCUUUUCUGAUGUUAGCGGCGGACGGGUGAGUAACACGUGGAUAACCUACCUAUAAGACUGGGAUAACUUCGGGAAACCGGAGCUAAUACCGGAUAAUAUUUUGAACCGCAUGGUUCAAAAGUGAAAGACGGUCUUGCUGUCACUUAUAGAUGGAUCCGCGCUGCAUUAGCUAGUUGGUAAGGUAACGGCUUACCAAGGCAACGAUGCAUAGUGACCUGAGAGGGUGAUCGGCCACACUGGAACUGAGACACGGUCCAGACUCCUACGGGAGGCAGCAGUAGGGAAUCUUCCGCAAUGGGCGAAAGCCUGACGGAGCAACGCCGCGUGAGUGAUGAAGGUCUUCGGAUCGUAAAACUCUGUUAUUAGGGAAGAACAUAUGUGUAAGUAACUGUGCACAUCUUGACGGUACCUAAUCAGAAAGCCACGGCUAACUACGUG